rnacentral:misc_RNA from 1 species
UCCUCUUUACAGAGGCAGUUCGUUCCGAGUCCCCGACAUUACUCGCUGGUAACAGAACGUGAGGGUUGCGCUCGUUGCGGGACUUAACCCAACAUUUCACAACACGAGCUGACGACAGCCAUGCACCACCUGUGCUACACCUUCGAAAGCGACUGCUUUUCGGCAGCUUGCAGUAGCAUGUCAAGCCCUGGUAAGGUUCUUCGCGUUGCAUCGAAUUAAGCCAUAUGCUCCACCGCUUGUGCGGGCCCCCGCCAAUUCCUUUGAGUUUCAACCUUGCGGCCGUAGUCCCCAGGCGGUUCACUUAAUGCGUUAGCUGCGGCACCGAAGGAAACCCCCCGACACCUAGUGAACAUCGUUUAUAGCUAAGACUAC